rnacentral:rRNA from 1 species
UACGUAGGUGGCAAGCGUUACUCGGAAUUACUAGGCGUAAAGCGCAGGUAGCUGGUUAGGUAAGUCUGUAAUGAAAUCUCCCGGCUUAACUGGGAGGGGUUUAUAGAUACUGCUUGACUCGAGUGUGGGAGAGGUCACUGGAAUUCCAGGUGUAGCGGUGAAAUGCGUAGAUAUCUGGAGGAACACCAAUGGCGAAAGCAGGUGACUGGCCCAAUACUGACGGUGAGCUGCGAAAGCUAGGGGAGCAAACAGG